rnacentral:rRNA from 1 species
CACGCCGUAAACGAUGAGUGCUAGGUGUUGGGGGUCAAACCUCGGUGCCGCAGUUAACGCAUUAAGCACUCCGCCUGGGGAGUACGUUCGCAAGAAUAAAACUCAAAGGAAUUGACGGGGACCCGCACAAGCAGCGGAGCAUGUGGUUUAAUUCGAAGCAACGCGAAGAACCUUACCUGGAUUUGACAUCCCUCUGACCGUUUUUUAACCAAGACUUUCCCUUCGGGGACAGAGGAGACAGGUGG